UACGAAGGGGGCUAGCGUUGCUCGGAAUCACUGGGCGUAAAGCGCACGUAGGCGGCUUUUUAAGUCAGGGGUGAAAUCCUGGAGCUCAACUCCAGAACUGCCUUUGAUACUGGGAAGCUCGAGUCCGGGAGAGGUGAGUGGAACUCCGAGUGUAGAGGUGAAAUUCGUAGAUAUUCGCAAGAACACCAGUGGCGAAGGCGGCUCACUGGCCCGGUACUGACGCUGAGGUGCGAAAGCGCGGGGAGCAAACAGG
rnacentral:rRNA from 1 species